rnacentral:rRNA from 1 species
AGCAGCCGCGGUAAUUCCAGCUCCAAUAGCGUAUAUUAAAGUUGUUGCAGUUAAAAAAGCUCGUAGUUGAAUUUCGGGAUCAGUAUGUUGGUCGUGCUUCGGUACGUACUGUCAUUACUGGUUUCUACCUUCUGAAGAACCUUGAUGUCAUUAAUUUGGUGUCUUGGGGAAUCAGGACUGUUACUUUGAAAAAUUAGAGUGUUUAAAGCAAGCAUACGCUUGAAUACAUUAGCAUGGAAUAAUGAAAUAGGACGUUUGAUUCUAUUUUGUUGGUUUCUAGGAUCGACGUAAUGAUUAAUAGGGAUCGUUGGGGGCAUUAGUAUUCAAUUGUCAGAGGUGAAAUUCUUGGAUUUAUUGAAGACUAACUACUGCGAAAGCAUUUGCCAAGGAUGUUUUCAUUAAUCAAGAACGAAAGUUAGGGGAUCGAAGACGAUCAGAUACCGUCGUAGUCUUAACCAUAAACUAUGCCGACUAGGGAUCGGAUGAUGUUAUUUUUAAUGACUCA